rnacentral:rRNA from 1 species
AGGGUUUGAUCAUGGCUCAGGACGAACGCUGGCGGCACGCCUAACACAUGCAAGUCGAGCGCGAAAGCCGCUUCGGCGGCGAGUAGAGCGGCGCACGGGUGAGUAACGCGUGGCCAACCUGCCCUCGGGACCGGGACAACCCUUCGAAAGGGGGGCUAAUACCGGAUGAGACCCAGAUCGUGGGAUCGGGGUUGAAAGCUCCGGCGCCCGGGGAGGGGGCCGCGUCCCAUCAGCUAGCCGGUGAGGUAAUGGCUCACCGGGGCAACGACGGGUAGCGGGUCUGAGAGGACGGUCCGCCACACUGGCACUGAGACACGGGCCAGACUCCUGCGGGAGGCAGCAGUGGGGAAUCUUGCGCAAUGGGCGCAAGCCUGACGCAGCGAUGCCGCGUGGGUGAAGAAGGCCUUCGGGUCGUAAAGCCCUUUUGGUGGGGAGGAUGAUGACGUCACCCACCGAAUAAGCGCCGGCUAACUACGUGCCAGCAGCCGCGGUAAUACGUAGGGCGCGAGCGUUGUCCGGAAUCACUGGGCGUAAAGGGCGCGCAGGUGGGUUCGCAAGCGGGGGGUGAAAGGCCGGGGCUCAACCCCGGGACUGCUUCCCGAACUGCGGAUCUAGAGGGGGUCAGGGGCCAGCGGAAUUCCGGGUGGAGAGGUGAAAUUCGUAGAGAUCCGGAGGAACGCCGG